rnacentral:tmRNA from 1 species
GGGGCUAAUCUUGGUUUCUACCUAGAGAAUCGCUCGGGUUAUAUGCUAUCAGGGAGAUGUUUAGGACUUCCUUAAUCAAUCUAAACAAUAAUAAGUCAAAAUACUUAUAACAGAGCAAAAGCUAGCCUAGCUAACUUUGCAGCUGGAUUUAAAACUCCAGCAUUCGCUACUGCCUAAAUUGGUGAUAGUGAUGUAGUCUUCGCAUGUCGAUGAGUGCCGAUUGGCCUACUACACAGUUUAUUGAAAUCCCCACUCUUGGAGAGAUAUAAACUUAUUAAAUAAGAGUUUUUUAUAAAACGGGUUUGAUUUAGUCUUGUUUUUUAAAAAUAUUAAUAGAUUAAAUUAUUAAGUGAGCUUUUUGUUUAUUUUAUAUUCACUUAAUUAUUAAAAUAAAAUAUGAUAGUAGAAAUGUUUCUCUAGCCUUUAGGGACGUCGGUUCAAAUCCGUCUAGCUCCACCA